AAUCCUAUAACUCUCCUAAUCCUAAAGAAUAUUUUCUCUAUAAGGACCUGUUUGAAUGCAUAGUUAAAAAACUCAAUGAAAUUUUUUUGCUAUGAUUUUGGUCUAAAUGAAAUACGGAAUUCUGUAACUACAAAAAAAUUCUACAGCUUCGUUUUUAAGCUGUUUGGAUACAGAUCAUAUAAUUCCACAGUAUUUAUAACAAUUAAAUUUCUAAAAUUUUAAAGACUAAAUUACAGAAAACCCCCUUGUAAUAACCUGCUUUUUCACUUUUCCUCCCUGACAUUUAAAAACCUACACUUUGCCCCCCUGUAAAAUAAAAAAUGUGCACUUCACCCCCUACCGUUAGGGUUUCGUUAGGAUUCCGUUAAAAAAUAUAUUUUUAUGCCGAAAAUACCCCUCUGCCAUCUCCCUGUUGCUUCGCCUCUCUCCGGCUCGCCACCUCGCCGCGGCCUUGCCGCCUAGCCGCCUCGCCGUCCUCCAGUGCCUCGCCCUCACCCACAUCCCCUUCGCCGUCCUCCGCCGCCUCACCUUCGCUUUCUUUACCCUUCUCCUACUGUCGCCCACCUCGGUUUCUCCUACUGUCGUCGAAAUCGAGGGCGGCGAGGGUGCAGGAGGAGAAGGGAAGCAGGUGGAGAAGGAAAUGGAGAGAAAUCGCGGCCGAUUGAGGUGGGAAUCGCAGCCGGAAGAUGGGGCGGCUGAGGAAGAUGGGGAAGAAGACGACAAUGGCGAGGGGCAAAAUGGUCAUUUUACACACCGUAACCCCCCUGUGAACAUUUUUCAUUUUACAGGGGGGCAAAGUGUAGGUUUUUGAAUGUCAGGGGAGAAACGUGAAAAAAGCGAGUUAUUACAAGGGGGUUUUCUGUAAUUUAGCUAAUUUUUAAAUUCAAAAUUUAAAAUUCAAAAUUCAAAAUUCAAAAUUCAAAAUUCAAAAUUUAAAAACCUGUUGCAUUGGGCCUAACCAGUCGAACUAUUCUACAUAUUUUUUUUUUUAACCGAAUUU
rnacentral:lncRNA from 1 species